rnacentral:rRNA from 1 species
AUUGACUGAGUGUAUUAAGUACGUAGGGAUUUAAAAUACUUUUAAAGUUACGAAGUUUUUUUGUAUAMAACAUUUAAAAUAUUUUAUAAUUUAAUUUUUUAAAAGAUGACAAGAUUUAUAGAACAGCGAUUAAAUGCAGUUACACUAUAGAGCUUGCCGCAAGCGAAGGCAAUCAUCUUUAAAUUAUUGAACCUGAUGUACGAAAGUAUGGAGAUCGAGAAGGAGUAGUUGCCCUAGUAGUCCAUACUGUAAACGAUGAAUACUUUAUGACGAGAGUCAGGAAUAGCUAACGCAAAGUAUUCUACUUGGGGAGUAUUAUCGCAAGAUUGAAACUUAACUGAAUUGGCGGGAAUUUGUUCGAACGGUGGAACAUGUGGUUUAAUGCGAUAAUCCACGCAAAAUCUUACCAACAUUUUAUGCUUUUUUGGUAGUAUAAUUAGUAUUAUAGCUAUUUAAAUUAGUACGGUAUUGCAUGGCUGUCGUCAGUUCGUGCCGUAAGGUGUAGAAUUAAGUUUUUCUAAACGAAUGUAACCCUAUAAGUAAGUUUUUAUAUUUUUUACAUUUUUUAAAAGUAUAUACUUAUUUAUUAUCUGUCUCUAUAUGUCAAAUUACUAAUAUAAUUUCCAUAUAUCGACAGGGGUUUUAGGCUGAAGUCAAGUCCCUAUGGUCUUUAUAUGUUGGGCUACACACGUGUUACAAGGAUAAAAACAAAGAGAUGCAAGGAUUCAAGUCUAAGCUGACCUCUAAAAAUUAUCGUAGUUCAGAUUGUCUCAUGAAACUCUGAGGCAUGAAGAUGAAAUCGUUAGUAAUUGUAAAUUAAAAUGUUACAGUGAAAGAAUUGUCAAAUUUUGCACACACCGCCCAUCACGCUCGGAGAGUCGUUAAUAGUGGAAAAAUUGAACUUAAUAUGAAAAUUUUUAGUAAUAAAAAUUUUUAGUAAACUUAUUGUUUAAAGUAUUUAUUUAGUAAAUUUUAAUCUAUUAGUGGUAAU